UAUUAACACAAGUCCCUUCUCUUUCUCGUUUGACCAGUAAGUAAAGUGUACAUUCAAUAAAUGCAAGACAUUAUAGAAUCUUUCCUUAUACCUUUGCUCCUGCUCCUGUAUGCAGUGACAAUGACACAUUUGGCCAUGAAAAGGCAAUCCUCCCCAAUUCUUGCGGACUCUGGAGCUAAUGAGGAGGUGGCGUUGAACAAAAGGGCAAAAGGGAAACAAGCAAUAGAAAGAUAAAGGACUGUGUUCUGUCCCCGAAACAUGAUCCGUUCCAGUUCCCUUUAGCUUUUUAUAUUACAAUGGGACAACUGCCUCAACUUCUCUUCUGUCAUUUACUUAAAGGCUUAAGUCGCACAUAGUACAUUUGUAUUGCCUUCAGUACCUACCAUAAACUGCUACCCACUUCUCCUUUGAUUCCCUUCUUUGUUUUGAGUAUAUUCUUUCUUCUUGAGUUUACCUGGUGAUUUGUUACCACGGUGGUUUUGUCAGCCAUUGUCGUUUUUCUGUACAUAUGAGGUUGAAUAUGUUUCUGCUUUCUCUUUUUUAAUCACAGGAUGAAUUUGUUUU